GACGUAGGGGGCGAGCGUUGUCCGGAUUUAUUGGGCGUAAAGCGCGCGUAGGCGGUUCGUUAAGUCGGAUGUGAAAAUCCGGGGCUCAACCCCGGACCUGCAUCCGAUACUGGCGGACUGGAGGCAGGCAGGGGAGAUCGGAAUUCCUGGUGUAGCGGUGAGAUGCGCAGAUAUCAGGAGGAACACCGGUGGCGAAGGCGGAUCUCUGGGCCUGUCCUGACGCUCAGGCGCGAAAGCUAGGGGAGCAAAC
rnacentral:rRNA from 1 species